AUCGCUUCUCGGCCUUUUGGCUAAGAUCAAGUGUAGUAUCUGUUCUUAUCAGUUUAAUAUCUGAUACGUCCUCUAUCUGAGGAUAAUAUAUUAAAUGGAUUUUUGGAGUAGGGAGAUGGAAUAGGGGCUUGCUCCGUCCACUCCGCGCAUCGACCUGGUAUUGUAGUGCUUCCGGGAAUGGUGCACCCCUU
rnacentral:snRNA from 1 species